rnacentral:rRNA from 1 species
AAUAGAUACCCGGGUAGUCCUGGCGGUAAACGAUGACCACGAGGUGUGCGGCGUAUCGACCCGCUGCGUGCCGAAGCUAACGCGAUCAGUGGUCCGCCUGGGGAGUACGGUCGCAAGAUUAAAACUCAAAGGAAUUGACGGGGACCCGCACAAGCAGCGGAGCGUGUGGUUUAAUUCGAUGCGACGCGAAGCACCUUACCAGGGUUUGACAUGCCAGCAAAACUUCGUGAAAGCGGAGGUCCUUCGGGUGCUGGCACAGGUGCUGCAUGGCUGUCGUCAGCUCGUGCCGUGAGGUGUUGGGUUAGGUCCCGCAACGAGCGCAACCCCCAUGCUCGGUUACAGGUGUCCGAGCAGACUGCCACUCUCAAAGUGGAGGAAGGUGGGGAUGACGUCAAGUCAGCACGGCCCUGACAUCCUGGGCGACACACACGCUACAAUGGCCACCACAAUGGGACGCCAACCCGCAAGGGGGAGCCAAGCCCAACAAAGGUGGUCUCAGUUCGGAUGGUGGGCUGCAACUCGCCCG